ACAAGGAGCGAGUACGACAAAUUAUGGAAAAGGCAGUACACGACGCAGAAUGGAUCGUAAAUAAGUAUACUAAAAUGGAAGCAGAAAAAACGCUUGAAAAGUAACAGUUUUAAUAAGGUAGUUACUUUCUCGUUAAGUAGACAAGUUACAUAAUUUAUUUUUGAUUUUUUUAGUCAAGAAAAAGUUUUGGAGUAUUAUACUUAAACAAUGGAUUUCACAACCAUAGUAAGCCAAGAAUCUGGAGCUAAUGCUUCCCAGUUUUGUAAAGCAGUGAAUAUUUGGUUGCAUAAUCCUCAGAUUGUGAACCGUAAAAUUCUUGGUUCGAGCGAAAUAUUGGAUAUCGAAGUUAGUUGCGAUAUUUUGGAAUUUUUUGAACGUAUCGACGCUUUAGAUAUUUCAAUGGUAACGACAGAAGAUCAGAGAGACGAUAUCAAUAGCGCAAAAUUGUUAAACGUAUUGCGUAUCUCUGACGAAACGUCCAAUACACAGCGUAACAGGAACAUUCGAUUAUACGUGACAAAACAAUUGCCACGUAUGCCGCAUAUAUUUUCUGCCGGUAUCGAGUUUCUGCUGUUGGAAAAACAGAAAAAUUCUAUCAUAAAUAUUCAUAAACCUUUCGUUGCGGGCAAACGAUCCCUUGGACCUAGAAUGGCGUAUAUGAUACAACAAGAAGCGGACAAGUUUACGUCCCUUGGUGUAUACAAAUUACAAAACGUUAUACACGAACAAUCGAGUAUAGAAUGGUUAGAGAAGAAGCUCUUUCCAUGUAUAUUGAGAUGGAUGAGAAACGAAUCGAGAACCGCGUCGACGCUGUCUUCGUUAAGUUUCGUAUCGACUGAAAAAUAUGCCAGAUUGUAUUGUAAAUUGAAAGAGAAGCACGGUAUGAAAUUAAUAAGCAAUUGGCCGGAAAAUACAGAUCCGCUGAAAUUCGUUUACGAAGAUAUCGCUAUAGCUGCCUAUCUGCUGUUGCUCUGGGAGAAAGAGAGGACAGAGAAAGGAACGAGUGAUUUACAAUCGUUCCUCGAUCUAGGAUGUGGCAACGGUUUACUCGUGUAUAUUUUAAUCAAUGAGGGUUAUCGCGGACGAGGGAUCGAUUUACGACGGAGGAAAAUUUGGGAUUUGUAUCCGUCUGAAACACCAUUGCAGGUUUCUACCGUGAUUCCGUCCUCCACGACGGUGUACACAGGAGUCGAUUGGAUCAUUGGAAAUCAUUCGGACGAAUUGACACCAUGGAUCCCUGUAAUCGCAGCGCGAAGUUCUGCCGACUGUCGUUUCUUUUUAUUACCUUGUUGUCCGUACGAACUGAACGGCACCAAGUAUCAGAGAUGUUGCGCUUCGAAAAGUCAGUACUCGGAAUACAUUGAAUAUAUUAAAAAUCUAAGCAACGAAUGUGGUUUCGAGACGCAUCUCGACAAAUUAAGAAUCCCAUCUACUAAACGUAUCUGUUUGAUCGGUUGGAAAAGAGUAGAGGAAGAGAGAAAAACGAGAGAAGAUCGCAUUCAACGAAUAAUAAGCGCAAAGACGACACUGACGCAAACUAAAAAGCAGAAAGAGGAUGAUGUUGGUGAAUGGACGUGUGACUUUAAACCGAGAGAGACUGUAGAAAAAGUAAGAAACUGCACGCAAUUAGAUAAAACAUUAAUCAAGAAUAUUGUUGAUAUCGUUGCGAAUCAGCUACUUUACAAAGGUCGUAUCGUAUCGGUGGAUGAAACGCAGAGAAGAAGUUGGAACGCGGGUCGAUGCCUGGAGUUAUGCGAAAUCGCAAAUUCGAUACCGAAAGAAACGAUGCUACGUCUACGAAAAGAAUGCGGUGGUUUGCAAACUUUACUGAAAAAUCAUAGUGAUAUUUUUUGCGUAGCAAAAGGAAAAGUUCAGUUUAGAAUACCCGGAGCGGAACAGGAGAAUGGCGGACGACCAAAGAAAAGAAACUUUUCGACGCCACGAAAGAAAACCAAGCCCUGUUGGUUUCAUGAAAAUCAUCCGAACGGUUGUCCAACUAGUGAAACGAAAUGCAACUAUAAACAUUGAUGGUAUGAUCGGGUCAAAGUAAAAACAAUGGUUUUCGAAUAUUAAGGGAAAGAAACAACGUUCAUUCAGGUGUUCGUCCGAUACUUUAUACGUUCUAUACACCAAACGACAAUGCUUAUUACUCGAACGAACAAGGUAAGCUCGAGGACGGUAUUCAAUUAUGUAAUGAUAGUAAACGAGACUCGAGGUUUGAUUCGUUCUUACGUGUAUGUAUGUACGUACGGAUUGAUCGUAUAUACCGUGGACGUUUGCGUGAGCACGUAAUCGUAUGCGGACAGAUAUGACCGAUACGCAGCCGAUAUAUAGUAGAAGAUCUGAGGGAAACGAAACGAAGCGAAGAGCUGGAACAGGAUUUGAACCUACGACCUUUGCCAUUAUAACCAAGCCCUCUAUGAAACUUUGGUACGUACCUAAAUACCUAUCAAUGGAAUUUUAUUUUUUCUCUACUUCCUCAUUGUAAUAUCUCUUACUUUCUGAGAGAAAACAUUUUCAAAUAUCGCAAAUAGGAUUCAAAAGCCUAAUUCUUUCCCUCGUUAUGAAGGAGUUACUAGAAAAAAUUUUCACUAAACAAAGAAAGGGAUAGAUAUUAUAUUUAUAAGUAAUAAAAAGUAAACGCGACAGAAAACGGGGCGAUGUUACGUAAGGAAACGCAAUAUGUAAACCGUGUAUCGAUAGAUCGACAUUAGCUAUCGCGUUUGGUAACGUUCGAUUCACGUGGAAACGGAAACCGAUACAAAUUUGAUAAAUGGAUUAAAUUUAUCAUUGGAUCAUUGUUAUCGCUCGAAAUGUUUAAUCGAACUCACAAAUCACUGUAAAAAGAAAACUCACUGCAAAUUUGUACGAUUAAUCAUUGUACGUUCAUUUUCUCGAAGGUGAUUCUAGAAAUACAAUUUUUAUUUUUCCUUUCAUUUAAAUCUGCAAACUUGGCUAGCUAGUGAAAUACACCGGAUUUACUAUCUGUUUUAUAGUAAAUUUUAAUCGCAUCUAAAAACACGCCACGACAAUUUCAAAGAGCGUCCUUUGAGCGUCGCAAAGCAAUCUUUCCGAGAUUUCUCGAUAUUGUCCUGGUUAAACGUUUUCCUUCCUCUCAUUGAAACGUUCUUAAUCUUUCCGCUUUAUUUUUAGAACCUCUAAGAACUGCACUUCACUCGAUAAUUUCCUUGCUCUAUUUCUGAACUGUUUUUCCCUUUCAUUUUCUUCCCAUUCAAUUAUCAUUCGCCAAGAUAAUUUAUUAUUUUAACCUAUGACUUUACACGUAUAUGUAAGUAUGUAUUUAAAAACCUCUUUCCUUGUUUACACUUUCACGAGGGUAGAGAUUUCCAGUAACGAACAAUAAAAAUAAAUUUUCGCGCGCUUUCUACCGCAGGUUCUCGAUCAAUUCGAUGUAUCGAUCGCACGUGACUCGAAAAUGUCGUGCGACCAAUGAAAAUCAAGAGAAUCGCGAACGGCAUAAAUAAUGGCGGCGUCGCGGCGUGAUAGCAGUUCUUUCGAUGAAUCAGGACGAAUCAUCGGGUAGACAAGCAAUAUUCCGUCUUUUAUCGCGAAAUAUACUCUAUAAAAAACGAGUAUUCACGGUCCAAUCCAUGGGGAAAAAGUUCAACCAUUGCAAUUGCUCCAUCAAUCGACGUGAGAAUGAAUUACACUCGAUGUAGGUAUUGAGCAGAAUUCGUGUAAGUAGAAAUCGUAAUAUAUUUAAAUAGAAAAAAAAAAGUUCUACAAAAAAUAUAUAUAUGUAUUCGAAAAAAUUUGACAUUAUGCAUGACUCCUAAGAUUAAAAAAUACAUAUUUAUA